UGUCCUUCGGGACACAUUGGUCUAUUGAAACGAUACAGGUAAAUAUUCCAAAGCACCCUCGUUCAACUCCCACUAACAUCCACCAGAGAAGAUUAGCAUGGCCCCUGCACUAAGGAUGACACGCUCAAUCAAAGAGAAGCUACCAAUUUUU
rfam:Fusarium oxysporum f. sp. cubense race 1 unplaced genomic scaffold scaffold56, whole genome shotgun sequence.